ACGACCUCACUUGAACAUUAUCUGUUUUAUGGGAUUGUACUUCUGUAUCCUUGAUCUCUAAGAAGACAAAAACCCUAACCUGGUGGAUGAAUCAUGACCGUCUGAUAAAAGCGUGAUUAACAGAUGAUGGUUCUUUGGUUCCAUCAAGCGGUAGAGGAUCGUCCUCAGUCGGUUCGACUGGCUGGGGUGGUCGCAAUACAGGUU